AAAAGAUAGUUAUAAAUUUAUAAUCACCUAAACUAUAUAUGAAAAAAAAACUAACAAGUCUAACCGUCUAUUAUAUUUGUCUUUCUCUUUCUCUUUCCUUUUUUUUAUUUGAAUAGAGAAAACGCCUAUUAUAGUUGUCUUUGCACAAAAAAAACUUAAUUUAUGCCAAAUACAAGUAGAAAAAGACAAUUCUUUCCAAAAAAAAAAAAGAAAAAGACAAAUAAAAAAUAUAUAUAACCCCUGGAAAAUAAAUAAAAAUAAGAAAAUUACCACCUAUACCCCUGAACCCUCCCUAUCUUUUCUACAGUUCCCUCCUAUAUAUAUACACACUAUUUUCCUCUCAUUUUCCGUAUUCCUCACUUCUUCUCUCAUUCUCAUCAUUUUAGUUGUUGAACAACACCAACAACAACAAAAACUUCGAGAGAAAAACACAUAAAACACACAAAAAAAAGAAAAAAAAAAGUUGUUCGUUUUUCCGUCUUCGUGCCUUAGUAGCAGUUGAAGCUGCCAGCAUGAUCUGAACUUUCUCUCCCUCUUUUCCCCUAUUUCUUUUUUUUUUUAUUUUUCUCUAUUCUCCUUGUUUUUUUUUCUUCUGUUUCGUUCUCCUUGUCGAGAAAGAUUAGAUCAUGUGGUAGCUUCACCUGUUGACGAGAGCACGCUCGAAAAAAGGAAAAUAUUUCAAUCCGUCAAAGUUAUCAACAUAUGUUUUGGUGAUACAUAUAUAUUUCAUCUCAAGGUGACGUGCGCAUGCAAAUGAUAUGGUCCAGCUUAUUAUCAUGGUCCCUGCCUGCUGCCUUAGCUUGGCUAACUUAUACUCCUACUUAGCUUUCUAUACCAUACAUAUAUACCUAUUGUUUCUUGGCUUCUUUCUUCUUUUCUUUUCUUUUUCUUUGGAGGUGGGGAAAAAAGAAUAGAAGAUUUGAGGGAUGAUAGGAUGUGUCAUAUGUGUGUGUUUAUUAGAUCGAUGACGACUUAUGAUCGAGGGUGUUGUUGAGAAUUUA